CAGAGGGGGCAAGCGUUGUUCGGAAUUACUGGGCGUAAAGGGCGCGUAGGCGGCCUUCUAAGUCGAACGUGAAAUCCCCGGGCUCAACCCGGGAACUGCGUCCGAUACUGGAAGGCUUGAAUCCGGGAGAGGGAUGCGGAAUUCCAGGUGUAGCGGUGAAAUGCGUAGAUAUCUGGAGGAACACCGGUGGCGAAGGAGGCAUCCUGGACCGGCAUUGACGCUGAGGCGCGAAAGCCAGGGGAGCAAACGGGAUUAGAUACCCCGGUAGUCCUGGCCCUAAACGAUGAAUGCUUGGUGUGGCGGGUAUCGAUCCCUGCCGUGCCGAAGCUAACGCAUUAAGCAUUCCGCCUGGGGAGUACGGUCGCAAGGCUG
rnacentral:rRNA from 1 species